GGCUCACUGCUACUUCCUCCCCCCUCUCCUCUCUUGCAGGCUGGCUGGUGGCCUCCCCCCCUACGCACCCAACUACUCCUCCUGGUUAGAUUGCUGGAGCCAACUGCUCAAGGAGGGGAACAUGAACUGAGGCAAGAGCCUGUUUUUCCGGAAGGUGCCUGCGGGGAAAGGUGCUGCACGUGUGGGAGGAGAAGCGGCUCCGCUGAGGCCGGAGCUGGGCGAGGGGCCCGGGCCCGGGCCAGAUGCACUGAAUGAUGGGAGAGUGGUGAUUUCUAUACAGUUUUUUAAAUAAUGAUUCAAUCUUGGGAAAUGGA